CUAAACGGAAGUGGAAAAGUGAAACAAAAUAUAAUUUUAGGUGGAUUCCAGCAAAAAAAAAAAGAAUUGUGUAUUUUAAAAAAAAUUAGAAAAAAUAGAUGGACGGUGGAUAUUUUUUCUUAUUUUUUUGAAAAUGGGGUGGGUUUAUAAAAACUAUGGGGUAUCAUCACCUUUUUUUUUUUUUUUUGGAAACAACAUAAUAUCCACUUAAUCUAUAAGAGAGACUGUGAAGUAAUUUACCAAAAAUGGGUGUAUGGGGCAGGCGGGGCAUCAAAGCUUUUUCUUAUUUAGGGAUGGCAAAAUUCAUAUGAAUCACGGGUUGCCUGAGAAGUAGAGAUGGGGAUAACCAUUGAUGGGGUGAGACGGUAAAAUAAUAAUAAUAUUAUUAUUUCUGACAUUUUAAAAAAUUAGAGGGACUGCAAUGUUAAUUACCUAAGUAAAUACAUCCUACGUUGUUUUUACUUUUACAAUUAUUUCGUUGGAUCUAACGAUCAGGUCACAAAACCAAUGAAGCAACUUACCUGGACCGCUCAUUUUGAUGUAUUUGGAUUGUCUUCUCCCACAAAGUUGCUCCUGCAACCUUGCUGCUGACCGUAUUAAAGUUUUGUGAUAGAUUUGGUUUUAUAUGCAAUUAACUUCAUUGUCUGUACCUUUAUCUGAGGGAUGAAUUAAAGUUUACCCCGUAAAAUAAUGACAACUCAAUUUUCUCAAGACAAAUUCCGGACCUCUUGACUUUAUCGUCCGAGAUAUUUUGCUGUUGGGCUGGAAGGAGAUUGAAGCCACCAAUAAAUUUCGUUGCCCCUUUUUUUCAAAAAUAAGAUUAAUAGCUAAAUUUGUUGUUUUAUUUUGACCGGAAAAACAUAGGUAGAAGUUGCAUUGGACGUGUUUAUCAGUUUCAUUUGAAAACGUUCGUACAGCAUUAAAUGUUUGAUAUGAACGCACGUAGGAGAUUUUGUAAUUCAAUGCAAGGAUUUCUUGACUUUUUAGCGUGCAGUAUAAAAUGAUUGAAGAAAGUCGUCGUGUGACUGUUCACCGUUGUAUUAAUUCAUGAAAAAAGUAGAUGUUUGAAAAAGUCAGCAAGAACUAGGAAAUUAAUGGUUGCACAACGUUGUAUUAAUUCAUGAAAGUUCCCAAGUGGAUGUUUAAAGUCAGCAAGAACUUGCCACUUCGGCCUUGGCCGAAGUGGUGGGCUGCUGCCCUCACAAGUAUUGUGAGGGCAGCGGUUCUAGCCCCCACAAAAGUAUUAUGGGGGCUAAAUGUUCUUUAUAUCCUUCUCCCUUACGAAAUACAAGUGGAGUAUGGACAUCUUCUCCUGUGAGGGGUUAUUUAUAUUGGGCAUGUACUUUAUAGAAUUCAUUGUAAUAAUGUAAGUCCCAAUUAUGUAUAUCUGAUUAUAAAUAUCAGUGUAAUACCUCUACUACAAUAAGCAGUUGUUGUAAAUAUCUGUGUAAUACAGUAAUUUGAUGAUUAAUCAGUCUCAAAAAAAAAAAAGUCAGCAAGAACUUGGAAAUUAAUAGUUGCAAACUCAAAUCUUUAUCGUGGAACUUUCCUAUUCAAAAGGGCAAUAAUGACUUUGUGUUUGUACGAUUUCCGAGACCAAAUAAAUUAAUGGAAAGCUACUUCCGACCUAGUAUUUGGGUUCCAGCUACUGUGCACGUGGUGCAUGGUACACCAUUUGUUCGUGUAUGAGUUGUCCAUUUGUUUCAACGGCACGGGUUAAUUUCAUUGGUUUCUAACAUUGAUGUUCGUUGUCCUCUGGAAAAGCAAAAAAGUUCGAAGAUUUUAAUAUUUGACACAUAAUUUUGCAUUGAUUCAAAUUUUAAUAUUCGACACAUGAUUUUGAAGUGUUUCAAAUAUUUAUAUUUUGGUCAAUUCACCUAAUUUGAUUAUUAAAGUUAGUGAUAGCUUAAAGGUAAUAACUUGUAAAAGCUUUUUAACAGAUAAUUUUUCUUUUGGAUGGGGAUAUUUUAAUACUACUUUUAUACAUUCACUCUAUUUCUAGAAAAUAAUUACAGUAAGUUCAUAAUAUUUUUUAAAAAUA
rnacentral:lncRNA from 1 species